AAAAGUCCUUUCAAGAUCCUCGCACUAUGGCAUCUCCUGCAGGAAGGCCACCUCCUAAUGUGCUUCGCCUUCACCAGAUAUGUGGUUUAGUGGCGGCUUACUCGCCGGGUGGAAAAUUGGGCCAUUACCCAAUCGAACCAAGUGAAGAUGAGUCCUUGGAUGGUACUAUAACCAUAAACAGGACAAGUUACAUACUUCGGGCAGAGUAUUCAUCGUCGAGGUCAAUGAUCUGCUCCGGUAUUACUUGGGUUUGCGGUCGUUCAUACUUGAACACGUCAAACAAAUGUAUGACGAGGCAGCUGCUGUAAGGCAGAAAGAAAGAAGAGUUUGUAAGACAAGCAACAGAGGAUAGAUGUUGUGGUUGUGCUUUUGAGGUCCGAGGUGUUCUAUGGCUCGGAGUUUCUUAGCGGGAAUAGCUUACCACCAAAGUUUAGUGACAACGAUAUGGGGAUAACAAUAUUUGAGGGACAAUGAUGCUCGGUGCCGAGUUUUGAUUUAUGUUUCCCUUGACCUGCCUAACUCCUUUUGGCGUAGAAACCGGAUAGGAUCGGUGAACCAGGGUAAUUGUCCACAACACUUAAUAAUAUUGAAUCACCGUUUCUUUUUGCUUCAA